rnacentral:lncRNA from 1 species
GAAUUGAUGAAUUCAAACUGAGCACCGUCUUGUAGAUGGGCAGCCCCCAGUACUGCCUGUUGAUGUUGUUAUGCUUCAUGAUGUACUUCAUAUUCAUGGAGCAGGGACUAGGAAUGGGAAUGUACUGCACUGCUGCAGCCCAUAGAUUGUAAUGUAAUUUCUUUCUGUGCCUCAGUAGGUAUGUAAGUACGUUGCACAAAGGCGGAACAUACUCCACAUAAGACAUUGAAAAUUUCUCCUCCCCCAUGCUUGAUGAUGUGGAUUCAGUCAUUUCAGGGAGGAAAAAUCCUGCGUCCUGCAUUGGUUAAAAUAUUUAUAUCUACUGCUAUUGGACACCUUGAAGAGGAUGUGAUUCACCUGGCAUGUAGUCAGGGAAGGGUUGCUGUGAGCUGGUCAGCCAUGAAUAUGAACAUGAGGUUUCUGAAUUGACAGUUAUCAACAGGAGCGCCCUUAAGUUUUCUGGAACUGACCAGCACUGGAAGAGUCAAGAUAUCUUGAGAGGUGCUGCUGCUACAGAAAUUCCCAGCUGUGUUCAGAAGUGUUGGGAGUCUUGAAAGACAAGCAGUUCUUGUAUUUGAUCUACUCCCAUUUGCAGACCACAGAGGUCUGAAACUCAUUUAUUCCAACCUAAAUCAGAAGCAAUCAUACUAAAUUCAGUAGGUAUGACUCAAAUCAGCGUAAAUGAGAUCUAAACCCAGCCUUCAAAGGGUU